rnacentral:piRNA from 1 species
GCACGAGACUAUCCGGCACGCCCAUGUU